GGGCUCCGUGGCUUCUGCUGGCUUUUCUACGAGGGGGGGGGAAUUCCCCCACCUCCUAGAAAAGCCCGCAGGAGCCGCGCACCCU